rnacentral:rRNA from 1 species
UGGGGAAUAUUGGGCAAUGGAGGCAACUCUGACCCAGCAACGCCGCGUGAGCGAUGAAGGUCUUCGGAUUGUAAAGCUCUUUAAGUGGGGACGAAGAAAGUGACUGUACCCACAGAAUAAGCCUCGGCUAACUACGUGCCAGCAGCCGCGGUAAUACGUAGGAGGCAAGCGUUAUCCGGAAUGACUGGGCGUAAAGGGUGCGUAGGUGGUUUGACAAGUUGGUAGCGUAACUCCGGGGCUCAACCUCGGAUCUACUACCAAAACUGUCGGGCUUGAGUGCAGGAGGGGUAAAUGGAAUUCCUAGUGUAGCGGUGGAAUGCGUAGAGAUUAGGAAGAACACCAGCGGCGAAGGCGAUUUACUGGACUGUAACUGACACUGAGGCACGAAAGCGUGGGGAGCAAACAGG